rnacentral:lncRNA from 1 species
UUGGUGGCGUAUUAGAUCCAAGUCGAUGGCGGCAUUAGAGGACAAUAGUUGGUGCGAGAAGGGCAUGAUGGAUGUGUGUCGAAGCACAAGGCGGGAGUGAUAUGUGGUAGGAGUUCAUCAUGUGGCGAGGCUUUGGCACAAACACAACGUUAGGUGCUAAGAGAGGUGUGACGUCAAUGUGAUGAGGGUGACUAGUGACCAAAGCAAGGACCAAGAAGACAAAGGAAAUUGUUUAACAAGUUGUCACAAACCUAAUGGAAACUAGUCCAAAAGGAGAAGGGCUACCACCAAGGAUGGUGCAUUGCAUUGAAG